GGUCUCCUGCUGCUGGUGAGGCGGCCGAGGAGCCGCAGCUCUCAGGCCACGAGCAGCCUCUGUCUCCCGAGGCCUCAGAGGCCGCGGCCAACACCCUCGUGGGAGGCGCUUUCAGACGAAGGAUGCCACCCGCCUGGUCCGGAGGAAACUCAGCCGCAGCAACAGCCGCACCUGCUCCUCAGCAUCCUCCCCGACGGGGACCCAGAAGAGAGAGAUGGGCUUCAGGAAGCUUCCCUGCAGGACGCUCGCUGUGAAGGCAGCACCUAGAAGUGGAAGGAGCGGGGGUCCCGGAACCAGCACUUAGCUUACUGCCCUGGAGGGCCCCGGGUCUGCAGGGCACGGGGACCCGAGGGACAAACCACCAUCACCACAGGGCACGGAGUGCCCCGCGACUCGGAAAGUCAGGCCACGCAGCUGCAAACUGUGAAGCUGGAACGUGGGCCCCAGUCCCUCCAGUAUGGCAGCUCCAGGGCAGCCAGACUCGUACAUGGUGGCCCAGGCUCCACACAACAGGUGUCACAAGACACCCAGGCAGAGGCCACGUCACCUUCUGGGUUCUCCCUUGGAAGUCCUGCAACGUCACGUCCACCUGCUCUGUGGGUUGAGGCUGUCACAAGAGACCCACCCCUGGUUCAAGGGGAAGGAUGUAGGUGUCACCGCUUGAUGGGACAGUGACAACUCCAGAAGCUUGUUUCCGAGGGGCUGUGAGCUGCACCCGCGCUGGGCCUUUGCGGGGGAGCACUGGAGUGGGGUCACAGGCAGCUCUCGGCUUUAAAGACGCUGCUGUGUGUCUGUGUAGCCCAUCACGCCUGGCUGCUGGGCAGCCCUGCAGAGUGUCUGACCGCCUAGCCUGCCCCUCCCAGGGUGAGGACUCCAGGGUGCCCCCACCUCCCCGGGCACAGUGAUGCUGGAGGGGCAUCCUCAGACGUGCCCUCUCAAUCCCCGAGCAGGACCAUCCCAGGCAGCAAGCUUCCUCCGAGCACCGGGCACUCUGGCUGUAUCGUCUCAGAACGCCGGGCAGAAGGUGGAGGAAGGAGACAGAGCUCACUCUGCUGGCCUCUCGGUUCUUGAAGAAAUUAGAGAUGCUGGGUUUUGAGCAGGGAGGAAGAGGAACGCCUUUGAUGCCCAGGGCAUGCUGCCCCCUGCAGGAUGCUGCAGCCUGCGGGGUGUACAAGAGAGAGAACAUCCUGGAGAGAGGGCACCGGGCGAGGUGGGCAGUGCGGCAGAGCCAGGAGACCAUGCCCAGGAGAGGUGUGAGUGUAGAGCAGCGGCAUCAGAGGUUGCCUCCAACGUGUUGGGAUAACGACGUUCGAACUUAACGAAAACGUGAUAGAACUUUGCAGUGAAGGCCCACACACCCACCCCCUGGAUUCUCCAACUGACAUCUGCUUUUACGCACGUUGUCACCUACCUAUCCUACUAGAGCCGCUUCUCUCUAUCCAGUCAACAAGCCGUCUUACAGUUCAAAUAUUUCAAAAUGAAUUGGGACAUCGGUGCCUUUCACCCUUAAACACUUCAGCACAUACUCUAAACGAGUCCAGCAUUGGUUUACCCCCCUUUGUUUUUGCUUUUGGGGUAAAAUAUGUUUGCAAUAAAACGCACAAG
rnacentral:lncRNA from 1 species